rnacentral:sRNA from 1 species
UUGACAGCGUUUGUGAUUGAAGUCCUGUCUUUGUGCACAGAGCAGGGGCAGCAUGGGCUGUGCCAGUCCAAGCUUCCCCACAUUCUCUAGUAGUGUGCGCCUCAACUCUGACCUACGGGGACCACCUCUAAAGGAUCAGAUAGUUCUUUCUAUCCUUGGCUUCUCUGCUGAAACUGCC